GACGAACGCUGGCGGCGUGCUUAACACAUGCAAGUCGUACGGUAAGGCCCUUUCGGGGGUACACGAGUGGCGAACGGGUGAGUAACACGUGAGUAACCUGCCCUUGACUUUGGGAUAACUUCAGGAAACUGGGGCUAAUACCGGAUAGGAGCUCCUUCUGCAUGGUGGGGGUUGGAAAGUUUCGGCGGUUGGGGAUGGACUCGCGGCUUAUCAGCUUGUUGGUGGGGUAGUGGCUUACCAAGGCUUUGACGGGUAGCCGGCCUGAGAGGGUGACCGGCCACAUUGGGACUGAGAUACGGCCCAGACUCCUACGGGAGGCAGCAGUGGGGAAUAUUGCACAAUGGGCGGAAGCCUGAGGCAGCAACGCCGCGUGCGGGAUGACGGCCUUCGGGUUGUAAACCGCUUUCGCCUGUGACGAAGCGUGAGUGACGGUAAUGGGUAAAGAAGCACCGGCUAACUACGUG
rnacentral:rRNA from 1 species